UACGUAGGGUGCGAGCGUUGUCCGGAAUUAUUGGGCGUAAAGAGCUCGUAGGCGGUGUGUCACGUCGAUCGUGAAAACUUUCAGCUUAACUGGGAGCUUGCGGUCGAUACGGGCAUCACUGGAGUUCGGCAGGGGAGACUGGAAUUCAAGGUGUAGCGGUGAAAUGCGCAGAUAUCUUGAGGAACACCGGUGGCGAAGGCGGGUCUCUGGGACGGUACUGACGCUGAGACGCGAAAGCGUGGGGAGCGAACAGG
rnacentral:rRNA from 1 species